rnacentral:rRNA from 1 species
AACGAACGCUGGCGGCAUGCCUAACACAUGCAAGUCGAACGAGACCUUCGGGUCUAGUGGCGCACGGGUGCGUAACGCGUGGGAACCUGCCCUUAGGUUCGGAAUAACUCCCCGAAAGGGGUGCUAAUACCGGAUAAUGUCUUCGGACCAAAGAUUUAUCGCCUUUGGAUGGGCCCGCGUUGGAUUAGCUAGUUGGUAGGGUAAAAGCCUACCAAGGCGACGAUCCAUAGCUGGUCUAAGAGGAUGAUCAGCCACACUGGGACUGAGACACGGCCCAGACUCCUACGGGAGGCAGCAGUGGGGGAUAUUGGACCAUGGGCGGAAGCCUGAUCCAGCCAUGCCGCGUGAGUGAUGAAGGCCUUAGGGUUGUAAAGCUCUUUUACCCGGGAUGAUAAUGACAGUACCGGGAGAAUAAGCUCCGGCUAACUCCGUG